rnacentral:rRNA from 1 species
UACGGAGGGGGCUAGCGUUGUUCGGAAUUACUGGGCGUAAAGGGCGCGCAGGCGGCUGCUCAAGUCAGGCGUGAAAGGCCUGGGCUCAACCCGGGAAUUGCGCUUGAGACUGGGCUGGCUUGAGUGCGGGAGAGGAUGGUGGAAUUCCCAGUGUAGAGGUGAAAUUCGUAGAGAUUGGGAAGAACACCGGUGGCGAAGGCGGCCAUCUGGACCGCAACUGACGAUGAGGCGCGAAAGAGUGGGGAGCAAACAGG